rnacentral:rRNA from 1 species
AAUGAACGCUGGCGGCGUGCUUAACACAUGCAAGUCGAGCGAGAAAGUGGCUUCGGCCAUGAGUACAGCGGCGAACGGGUGAGUAACACGUGGACAACCUGCCCGGAAGCGGGGGAUAACCUGGGGAAACUCGGGCUAAUACCGCAUAAGCUCCGUGGGCUUCGGCCCGAGGAGAAAAGUUGGCCUCUACAUGUAAGCUGACACUUUCGGAUGGGUCCGCGGCUGAUUAGCUUGUUGGUGGGGUAACGGCCUACCAAGGCGACGAUCAGUAGCCGGCCUGAGAGGGCGAUCGGCCACACUGGAACUGAGACACGGUCCAGACUCCUACGGGAGGCAGCAGUGGGGAAUAUUGGACAAUGGGGGAAACCCUGAUCCAGCAACGCCGCGUGGAGGACGAAGGCCUUCGGGUCGUAAACUCCUGUCAGGUGGGAAGAAAGGCCAUCGGUCAAUAACCGGUGGGCGUGACGGUACCACCAGAGGAAGCCCCGGCUAACUCCGUGCCAGCAGCCGCAGUAAAAC